AGAGUUUGAUCAUGGCUCAGGAUGAACGCUAGCUACAGGCUUAACACAUGCAAGUCGAGGGGAAACGACAUCGAAAGCUUGCUUUUGAUGGGCGUCGACCGGCGCACGGGUGAGUAACGCGUAUCCAACCUGCCCACCACUUGGGGAUAACCUUGCGAAAGUAAGACUAAUACCCAAUGACGUCUCUAGAAGACAUCUGAAGGAGAUUAAAGAUUUAUCGGUGAUGGGUGGGGAUGCGUCUGAUUAGCUUGUUGGCGGGUAACGCCACAAGGCGACGAUCAGUAGGGUUCUGAGAGGAACGGUCCCCACAUUGGAACUGAGACACGGUCCAAACUCCGUACGGGAGCA
rnacentral:rRNA from 1 species